rnacentral:tRNA from 1 species
GGAGAGAUGGCUCAGUGGUUAAGAGCACUGGCUAUUCCUCCAGAGGUCCUGAGUUCAAUUCUCAGCUACCACCU